UAGUGCUGUUGCUGCAUGUUCCAAGGGGUGCUGGUUCAAGGCUCAGCUCUGGUUUCUUUCCAAGAGUGUCUU